rnacentral:lncRNA from 1 species
UGCGGCCAUGGCUUGGCGGACCUCGGCUGUGGGAGCUCUUCCAACAAAAAGAUGACGGUAUGGGUUGUGAGAAGGUUUUACAUGGAGGUGACUCAGCAAAGCAUUUUUCUUUAGAGAAGCAGCUGGAAGGACAGAGAGUGGAAAGAAAAUGGGAAGUAUUGUGGAACAUGAGAAUAAAGGAACAACUCUGCAGCAAAUGCAAUGUCUUAACCACAGCACUGAACAACUGUUGAGAACCACACUGGAAGUGAGCACCAGAAAAUAAUGCUGUAGGAGGAGGCUGUGCAGAAUGGCAAUAACCCUCACUGUACCAUAAAAAACAACUGGAAGGUGUAGUGCAGGUUACAGCAUCUGAAAAGACACUUCUAGAGAAGGGGCACCACACUGCCUCAGAUAAGUGGCCAUAUCUGUGCUGGUGGAAAGUGAUACAGUUCCACUGGAGGGGAAGGGACCAAAGAGAUUUUCCUUAUCUGCGGACCUGCUCAUUGGUUUGUAAGAUAUGAGCUUUCAUGGCCCAUUGACAUGUUUCAGUUCUUUUGUUCAUGACCACUUUUCUUCCAUGGUUUGUGUGCUACAGAUGGUAACCUGAGUCUCUCUUUACGGCUCACACAGAGUAAAUGGUAUCAGUACCAGUGAACGAUGGAGAAAAAAAUGAUGAAAAUAAGGUCAAGAAGCACUGUGUACCUAAUUGCCUGUGAAUCUCACAUCUCGUGCUGACAGAGACGGGAGUCGGAGUGCUCUGUUUGCUUCCACAUGCUCCAGAGAUCACGUAUGACCAAAAUGGUGACAGCUUCAGUAACAGGUUGCUUUGCCUUGCCGUGCUCUUCAAGAAAGAAAUCUAUUCUGCAAUAUACAACUUCCAUCUUUCUGAGAGGCUUUCCUCCUUGAAUCCUUAUCUGUGAAGGACUGGCAGAAGGAAAGGCAAGAACUUGAAAGCAGCCUGAAUCAAAGAUGGGCUGCCCAAGCCAUGUGGAGAGUGACUGCUGGGCAAGAGAGGAGCCUGCUGGCAGUGGCAGGAGGCACAGAGAGUGGCACUCAGUGGGCCCUUGCCAUUCAAGCGCUCUAAGAAAGCCACCACCCAAACUGGUGCUGCUGUGGGCCAGACCCACAGCAGACAGUGGGAACAGCAGCACAGUUAGAGUUUCGUAAGUUGAAAGGUCACAGGUAGCUGCUUCUGGAAAGAUAUUUGAGUACUAAACCUUCUCCAUUGUCACGUCCUUUUAUUUUUUUAUCUACUUAUUUAUUUGAUGGUUCUGGAAAUUACAUGUUUGAG